UACGUAGGGUGCAAGCGUUGUCCGGAAUUAUUGGGCGUAAAGCGCGCGUAGGCGGCUACUUAAGUCGGAUGUGAAAGCCCUUGGCUCAACUGAGGAAGUGCACCCGAAACUGAGUGGCUAGAGUACGAAAGAGGGUCGCGGAAUUCCCGGUGUAGAGGUGAAAUUCGUAGAUAUCGGGAGGAACACCGGUGGCGAAGGCGGCGACCUGGGUCGAUACUGACGCUGAUGCGCGAAAGCGUGGGGAGCAAACAGG
rnacentral:rRNA from 1 species